GAUAAAUAUAUCAAUAUAUAUUUGUUAUAGAUAAAUAUAAUAUAUAUAUAGGUAUAAAUAUUAUUGAUAUAUUUAUAAUAUAUAAAUUGAUAUAUUUGUCUAAUUGCAAUAUAUAAGGUGUGUUCAAAUUAAACUUGUUCAAAACCAUCACUGAUUAGUCAUGAAUGCUCCAUGAAGGCCGAGAGGAAAUGGUGGAUUUGCCAUGUCCUGAUGAGGUGCACAAAGUUAAGACUGAUAGUUUAAUUUUAGACAUUGACAAUGUGAUUAAGGUGACCAAUCAAUGACAGUCAUCUUCGACACUACUUUUCUCUGUACACAGCUAUUAUUCUCCAAUAAAUCUCCACUGGCUUACAUCCCACAGUUGUUAAAAACUGAAUUAAAGCUUGCAUAUCCUGCUUGGACAGGUUUUCAAUCAUACCAGUCAUCUUCAACAUUAUGCUGCACAUUUAAAAAUGAUGCAAGUGCACAACUUAAGAACAUUGUGCAUAUGCCACACAUACUUCUUCACUUAAACAUUCGCAUUCCAAAACUGAAAUGUCAUUUCAAAUGUC
rnacentral:lncRNA from 1 species